GAAACAGAUUCCAUACAUGCCAUCAAUAUGAUCCAGAAUCGUCAUACCUCCAUUUUUCAUCUCCAACCUCUACUCCAGGAGAUUAUAAACCUUAUCAACCUCUCAGGGUCGACUAUUCGUAUAAAUCACAUUCAUCGUGAAGCAAACACUUGUGCCGAUGCUCUUGCUUUAAGGGGUCAUCAAGCGGAUUUUUUCCCUUCUAUUUUAGAUGUUAUUAGUCCUAGUAUUAAUUUGCUUUUU
rnacentral:lncRNA from 1 species